ensembl:lncRNA
GUCAGUCUGAGGUGACAAUGGCACAUACAAAGUUUGGUACAAAUAUGUCAAAGCUUUGCCGAGAUACAGCCUCAGAUGUAUUUUGGCAUCUUACGAACAAAUUCGUUGAUGCGCUAAAUGAAAACCGUUUCGUAUAUCAACACGAAUUCCAUAACAUUUUAUCAGGUUGGUCUGAAGAUGAUUCGAGUCAAAUUUGGUGAAAAUCGGACUAACGGUCUAGGAGGAGUUCGAAAAAGUAGGUUUUCAACAUGAAUCAAAAUGGCGGACAGGAAGUAUGGCCAAUUUUGGCAUAAUUGGUAUUGAUGUUCUCGGCAGGACCCAAAGAAUAUAGGGAGACCAUUUUCAUUUUAAUAGUCUAAUUCUUUCAAAAGUUAUAAGCAUUUUUAAGAUAUUUCAUUAUAACUUUUGACCACAAGGUGGCGCUGCCACCAAACUUUUUGAGUAGCUUCAGGGCAUGGAGCCAAACAUUUUUGUAAUUAUUUUCGUAGCGAUACGAUAAUGCGUUCAAAAAAUACAGCAUUUUGAAACAUAAUUCAAAAUGGCCGAGACCUAAAAUGGCCGACACGGGAAAAUUGGAUAUCAUUCGACUUGACAUGACCCACCGAAUCUAAUGAGACCAGUUUUGUGAUUUUUGGCCAAACCAUUCAGAAGUUAUAAGCAAAAAUAUGCAUUUUUCAUAUCUCCUGACCACUAGGUGGCGCUGCGUCGAAACACUGCAGGAAGUCUCAGGUCAUGCUUGUUAUAACACACACCAAGUUUGGUCUCAAUACGCCAAACCGUUGCGGAGUUAUAGCCUCACAAGCAUUUUUGCGUGCUUUUCGUAGAAUUUGUUCGCGUGGUAUUCGAGAACGGUAGGACAAAGCAACUUGAAUUCCAUAACUUUUUGCCGGCAUCAUCUGAAUAUGAUCUGAGCCAAUUUUCGUGAAAAUCGGACUAACCGUCUAGGACGAGUUCGUAAAAGUAGGUUUUUCAAACAAUUGAAAAUAUCAAAAAAACUAAACCUUGCGAUUUUUGAAUUUCGGGGUUCAUUCGACUUGGCCUGAGCCAAGGAUUCAGAGGAAAAAAGAAUUUUCAUUUUGUGGCUUACGGUUCAAAAGUUAUUAGCAUAAAAAUAUUGAAAUUUUGGACAAGUGGUGGCGCUAGAGAGUUGGAGUUAGAGACUUCAAAUUUGCUAUAGUUAAUGCUGGGACUGUCCUCUAUCAGUGUGCCAAAUUAUACAACUUUCCCGCAAUCGGUUCUAUGGGCUGCCAUAGACUUGCGGCGGAAGAAGAAGAAGAAGAAGAAGAAGAAGAAGAAGAAGAAGAAGAAGAAGAAGAAGAAGAAGAAAUAUAGCUGCAAGCAGCAAUUACGGGGCCAAGCACUCCAGAGGCAAAUUGAGGAGCUAAGCAUGGCAUGGAGCAUCACACCAAAUGUAACAAUGAGCAAUUACAGCAAUUUUAGGAUGAUUGUAAUUGAAAUUGCGGAAAAAUCAUAAAUACAAGCACUAGUAUUAUGAUUAAAUGACUUAUAACUUUUGACCAACAGGUGGCGCUGUAAUUAAAUCAUUUUGGUGUGUUCUGUGUGAGGUGACAAUGGCACACACAAAGGUUGGUGUCAGUAUGCCAAAGCAUUGCAGAG